rnacentral:rRNA from 1 species
AUUGAACGCUGGCGGCAUGCCUUACACAUGCAAGUCGAACGGUAACGGGCCUUCGGGUGCCGACGAGUGGCGAACGGGUGAGUAAUACAUCGGAACGUGCCCGAUCGUGGGGGAUAAUGAGGCGAAAGCUUUGCUAAUACCGCAUACGAUCUACGGAUGAAAGCAGGGGACCGCAAGGCCUUGCGCGGACGGAGCGGCCGAUGGCAGAUUAGGUAGUUGGUGGGAUAAAAGCUUACCAAGCCGACGAUCUGUAGCUGGUCUGAGAGGAUGAUCAGCCACACUGGGACUGAGACACGGCCCAGGCUCCUACGGGAGGCAGCAGUGGGGAAUUUUGGACAAAGGGCGCAAGCCUGAUCCAGCCAUGCCGCGUGCAGGAUGAAGGCCUUCGGGUUGUAAACUGCUUUUGUACGGAACGAAAAGCCUUCUUUUAAUACAGGAGGGUCAUGACGGUACCGUAAGAAUAAGCACCGGCUAACUACGUG